UUUCAGCCUAUCCAGUCUCUGUCGCAUUCACGUCUAGCCUUGCUACGUACCGAAACUAAAUUAUUGAUUAAGUUAUUGAAUAGCAUUAAUUUACAUGUUUUCCUCGAAGUUACCUUCUUUUUUAAAUAUUAACACCUUCGCUGCGGAACAGACUCGUAUCGGCCCACCGCAUUACUUUUAGCUGGUGCGGACGAUUAUUUCAGGUUUGCAAGAGCUCGCUACCGACAACUAUCAACUAUAAAUUAUAUACACUGUGUUUUCUCAUAAUUAUAGCAUUUUAAUUUACCUUAGCGCUGAUAUGUCGAGAAAGGACUGCUACGCACUGAUGGAAACAUCUUUGGGGGGCACAUUUCGAUUCACCGCUGCACCAAAUGAUGGCUUAUGAUUUAAAAGAUGACAUGUGUGGAUGCAUUUACUUGUGUUCAUAACGCGAAACGCAUAUGUGGAUUAGACUCUGAAAGCCGAGAACUGAGGUGGUUUUUGAAUAAAUGCGAUUUACUGGAAUUUAAUUGUGAAUACAAAAGUCAAUUCCAAAUAGUGCCAAAGUCCAAAUGUAAGAACAUACCACAGAUAUAGUUGUUUACAUAACAAACAUUUCCUAGAGUUAAAUACAUUAAUGGAAGUUUGUUGUAUUCUUAGACAAUAGUUCUAUAUCUUCUUUGCUUCAUGAUAUUAACUGUCAAUUCACACGGACCUCCACAAGAGAGGGAUAAUGAGGACAUAGCGAUGGGGCGGAAGGUAAAAAAAAUGGGUGCUAAGUGGUGCAACAUGGCGAAGGCGUGCAACCACGACCGCGUCCCGAUCUGCGGUAUCAGUCACGCUGGAGAUGUCGUCGGCUUCAGAGAUCUAUGCGACAUGUUCGAUUAUAACUGCAUUAGACGUAGAAAUUACAGACAAACAGCAUGUCCCGAGGAUAAAUCGAUGCUAACUGUCUCCCGUCGUCCAACAAACAGCUAUUACGAUGACUAAUUAAAUUCCUGCCCUGUUUUUCUUGAACAUUUUCUCUUAUGUAUACCUUUUAUUAACUAGAGUCAACUGUUUUAAGUGUGAUAUCUAUUACAUUAUUUUUUUGAAGUAAAGCUACAUAUGUAAACCAA